AUGAUCGAUAAUUCUUAUUGGGCUGAGUUGGAAUUGUUCUAAUCCACUGAAAAGAGUUUCAAUGACAUUGUUGAUAGUGAUUAAAAUAUAUCUCACUACCAGAUAGAAUAGAACCUAUGGGGUCACACACACAAGAGGUUGUGAUUAAUCGGAUAGCUAGAUCGCGAUUAUUGAAUCGCUGGAGGACCUAAUUGUCAAUAUGUUGAUAAUUGGACUAAUUUGUAAUUGUUAAAAAUUAGUGGUAUUAAAGUGUAAAUGUUACUAGAGAGGACUUACUAAUAGUUAGUAAAUUAUAAGAGGACUUAUGUGCAAAUGUUGCAUUAUUAAUUUGAUAUGAUCAAAUUAAUAUAAAGUUCAAGUCGAAUCAAAUUAGGAUUUGAUCGAUCUAACUAAUUAAGGAAAGGAUAAAUUUAAAUCUAGAUUUGUACUUAUCCUUAAUGGUUAUUAUAUUAUUAAAAAGAUGAUUAUAUUUCUCUAUAUAAGAAUAUGGGAGUUUUUAGAAAACCCUAGCCGUCAUCUUUUCUCUCUUCUCUCUUCCAUAUUCUAGCAAAAAGACGUCCUUCGCAAUGGAGCUAGCACCCUGGUGAGGAUAUUGAUCAAAUCAAGAACCUCGUGUGCAUACCUAUAGAGGCCGGACGCGUGUGCAGCUUCAAGAGAAUCCGAUUCGACGAUCAUCAAAUUGAGGUGAAGAUUUAUGCGC
rnacentral:lncRNA from 1 species